rnacentral:rRNA from 1 species
UACAGAGGUCCCGAGCGUUGUUCGGAUUCACUGGGCGUAAAGGGUGCGUAGGUGGCUUGACAAGUUUGAUGUGAAAUCUCCGGGCUUAACCCGGAAAAUGCAUUGAAUACUGUAGAGGCUUGAGGUUUGGAGGGGGGACUGGAAUUCUCGGUGUAGCAGUGAAAUGCGUAGAUAUCGAGAGGACACCAGUGGCGAAGGCGAGUCCCUGGACAACACCUGACACUGAGGCACGAAAGCCGGGGAGCAAACAGG